GAGGAAUCGUUCGAAAAGAGGUAAACUUGAUAAUAAGUUAUGUCACGACAAAAUGGAACAAUCGCGACAUCUUGUGAUCAUUUUUCUUAGCUUAUCGCAAGUCGACGAGUGUGAAUCUCGUCGAUUCCUCGACGAUUCUCCCGAGGAGAAGGAGGAUCGUUGAGAGAUCGUUGAAGAUAGAGCUCGGUCAGAAUUUCUACGUUCAAUCGUUCACCACGGCCGCCGGGCCGGCGAAAAAUUAUUUAUUUAUAUAGUCUAUCGGUUGUAUUUAUUGAAGACGAUUUAUUUGCGCGUUGCAAGUUCGCUUGUGGGAGUACAGAAUGAAACAGGAACGACGAAGAAUAGAGGAAGCGAGGAAAUGGAGUAAGAUUCGACAAGGAUUUGUUUCGCAGGAAAAAUCAAAUUAACCCCCCCCCCCCCCCUCUCAAGAAAAAGAACAGACUGCAUUAAUGUAGAUAGCGACGAUAUUAUAGUUGAACGGAACGCCAUUCCAAUGUUUCACUGUUUUUUAUACCAAACGCGAGCGUAGCGGCAUUUUGUAUCAAGUGUCUUGAGGGGAAGAUGGAAUUCGUGCGGGACGUGUUCCAAUUCUCGCGUGUGUCGCGUUGUUUCGAUUU